GCAGGGCCGAACGGAGUCGUACUUCGCGCGCCCGAAAAAACAAGUUCGCGAGCGCCACCUCGUGGCGCUGAGCGAAAGCUGUUAAGGGCCCUUAGUGCCUAUCCUUUAGUUAGGCGAGGUAUAGGUUUGAGUGCAACGAUUGGCUUCUGGGCUGAAACUUCGACGUAAUUGGCCAAGGGGACUGGGAUGAUCGACUUCGCAUCCGUCGACAAGCAUUUUUAUAGCCAUUCAGCCGUGGAUACGGCCGAAACUAAGCGUAAACGUGAAGAGGGGCGUGUGCAUCAGUGAGCCUGCAGAUGUUUGUUUACAUCGUUCAUUCGCCCCGAUUUCGGCUCGGCAAGACCGUUAACGAGUCGAUUUCGGCGCCGAAAACGUCGGCAAUUAAGUGCCGACGUUUUACCGACAGGGUACGGCGUUUGGUGUCGGCGUUAUCUCCUGCAAGUCCGUGGUCGCUGAUUUCUUUCGCCGGGAUGAAGCUUCAUCGGGAAUUUACGUUUACGGAGGACAUCAACUACGGACAGGGGCAGCAGGACAAAACUGAUCAAGCUGGAGGACAGAGGAGUGCCGUCCAAGCUGCAGCCUCAGGUGCAGCAGCUGAUGAAGAAGACUCAGGCCAUGAAGAAGGAGACUCUCCUCGAGUUUGAGCUCGUCCUGGAAAGAAUGUCGCUCGGCAAGCUGACCCAGAAGCAGGCUGCAAGCGGCCAACUAGGAGCUGUCCAAACUGCAGGAAUCUGCGCACUGUUCUUGUUUUUGUGUUUUUUAAGAAUCCUUUUAAUUGCCUAGUUUUUUCCGUCAUUUUCACAAAAACAAGAACAGAAUCAGCAACUCAAUGAAAACUGCUUGCUUUUUUACAGAGAGAACCAAUAAAAAAUUAAAAUAUUU